AUGAACGCUGGCGGCGUGCCUAAUCCAUGCAAGUCGAACGAACAGACGAGGAGCUUGCUCCUCUGACGUUAGCGGCGGACGGGUGAGUAACACGUGGAUAACCUACCUAUAAGACUGGGAUAACUUCGGGAAACCGGAGCUAAUACCGGAUAAUAUAUUGAACCGCAUGGUUCAAUAGUGAAAGACGGUUUUGCUGUCACUUAUAGAUGGAUCCGCGCCGCAUUAGCUAGUUGGUAAGGUAACGGCUUACCAAGGCGACGAUGCGUAGCCGACCUGAGAGGGUGAUCGGCCACACUGGAACUGAGACACGGUCCAGACUCCUACGGGAGGCAGCAGUAGGGAAUCUUCCGCAAUGGGCGAAAGCCUGACGGAGCAACGCCGCGUGAGUGAUGAAGGUCUUCGGAUCGUAAAACUCUGUUAUUAGGGAAGAACAAAUGUGUAAGUAACUAUGCACGUCUUGACGGUACCUAAUCAGAAAGCCACGGCUAACUACGUG
rnacentral:rRNA from 1 species